rnacentral:rRNA from 1 species
UACUCAUCUGUUGCCAGCAUUUAAGGUGGGGACGUCAGAUGAGACUGCCGGUGACAAACCGGAGGAAGGUGGGGACGACGUCAAGUCAUCAUGGCCCUUAUGUCCUGGGCUACACACGUGCUACAAUGGCCGGUACAGAGUGAAGCGAAACCGCGAGGUGAAGCAAAACGCAGAAAGCCGGUCUCAGUACGGAUUGGAGUCUGAAACUCGACUUCAUGAAGUUGGAAUCGCUAGUAAUCGCGCAUCAGCAUGGCGCGGUGAAUACGUUCCCGGGCCUU